rnacentral:rRNA from 1 species
UACGAGGGGGGCAAGCGUUGUUCGGAAUUAUUGGGCGUAAAGAGUGUGUAGGCGGUGCUCUAAGUUUGGUGUGAAAUCUCCCGGCUCAACUGGGAGGGUGCGCCGAAAACUGGAGUGCUGGAGCGCGGGAGAGGAAAGCGGAAUUCCUGGUGUAGCGGUGAAAUGCGUAGAUAUCAGGAGGAACACCGGCGGUGUAGACGGCUUCUGGACCGUAGCUGACGCUGAGACACGAAAGACGUGGGUAGCAAACAGG